UAAUGUGAAAAGAAUCCCUCUUAUGACCCAGGCUGAUGCUCAUGAGAAAAACACAGUGCUCUCACACAACAGACAUGCUGGAACUGUUAAAAUGCCCUGCUAUAUGUCCCAGAAAGCUUUUCAUAUGGAAGAAGAUAUACAUCUUGUCUCACUCCAUCUUUCAAACUACCAGCUGGACAAUCAUAUAAUCUCCACCAUGACACAGUGGUAUGGUUCUACUUCUCUGGGUUUUUUCCUCAUCCAGCAGCUCAAAGUUCUCAUUGUAGUCAUCACUUCACCUGACUCUGUGGUUUCAAGGAUGGUGGUGUGUGUCAGUGGACUCUAUAGCCUACCAGUUUGCUAAAAAUUGCAUCAUCACAUGCUAUGUGGACCUGUUCUCUCAGUCUCAGAGAAUCAAUUAGCAACGACUUUAGCACCAUGUGAAUAUGCUGUCAUCUCCUGUGAUGCCACCAUCCUUCAGUGAACCUGAAAUGUGGUCUUACCAAUAGUAGAACUUAAAAAAUUUGGACAAUGAUUUGAGUAUUUCAUUUCCUGGUUAAGACAGCUGAAAGACUGAGAACUGCUGGAUGAGAGAUUAAUCCUCUGGUAAUCAGAAUGUGGAUGUGAAAAGUUCAGCCAUCUUUCUGUGUUUCACCUUCCUGAUAAUAUACCAGUUCUCUAAAGGCAAGAGGCUCAACAGCUAAAUUGACAUGGAUUUUACUGAAAUCAGCUAUCUAAGUUAUACCAGCUGAGACUUUGCUUGGAGAAAUCAAAAGCAAGCCUCUCUGGAAAUGACUGAGUUAGGUGGAGAGGAUUGCAAGACCCAAUGAAUAAACUGGUGAUUCCUUGACUUCAUUGCUUCUUCCAUAAUGAACAGUAUUCUUCUCUUGUGUAGGCUGAAAGGUGUGCAUCAGCACUUCUGCCUGUCCGGAGCAUUGCUGGGAAAUGUAGUUUGGCUGAGGGGCAAAGUCCCCAAAAAAGAACAGGAAGAGGAUGGACU